rnacentral:rRNA from 1 species
ACUCAAAGGAAUUGACGGGGGCCCGCACAAGCAGUGGAGUAUGUGGUUUAAUUCGAAGCAACGCGAAAAACCUUACCAGGUCUUGACAUCGAGUGAAGUAUUAAGAGAUUAAUACGUCUUUCGGGACACGAAGACAGGUGGUGCAUGGUUGUCGUCAGCUCGUGUCGUGAGAUGUUGGGUUAAGUCCCGCAACGAGCGCAACCCUUAUCAUUAGUUGCUACGCAAGAGCACUCUAAUGAGACUGCCGUUGACAAAACGGAGGAAGGUGGGGAUGACGUCAAAUCAUCAUGCCCCUUAUGACCUGGGCUACACACGUACUACAAUGGCAAUUAACAGAGGGAAGCAAAUCAGCGAUGGUAAGCAAAUCUCAAAAAAUUGUCUCAGUUCGGAUUGCAGGCUGCAACUCGCCUGCAUGAAGUCGGAAUUGCUAGUAAUCGCGAAUCAGCAUGUCGCGGUGAAUACGUUCCCGGGCCUUGUACACACCGCCCGU